CCCUCCUCCCUUCUUCCAUUAGGAUGUCAAUCCUCUAAUACAAUGAUGAAAGUAACGUACUAUUUGUUGAUCGAUGAGCAAUUAUUCUUGGAUGUACCUUCAUAUUUCACUGCCAAAUAACAAUUUAGUUUUUUCAAGGCCCACCUUUCUCUCAAUACGCCAAGUCUUAUUUUGCUCUUAAUUACAUGAGUAACUAAGGAGAAACAUAGUAUAGGUUGAGGUUUAUGACUAGCUAUGUAUACAGCAUACAGGUCUUGCCGUCUUGGUCGACAAACAUAAUUGUAGGAGAUUCUAAUUGACAUUUUUGAAGAGACAAAGAGCAAUUUAGGUUGUCACUUGUUUAACUUCUUUCAGCUCCAACAACAAUUCAAAAUUAUAAAGAAGACUAUGAUUAAUUCAUAGAUUUCACAAUUCAUAUUGCAAAAAAUGAUUAAUUCUAAAGUUGAAAAGCCAAUACUAAUUGUUACUGCAAUUUUACCCACCUUAAUCUUGAGCUCAUAAUUUUUUUGUAAGAAAAAGUUUCAGAUAUCAAAUCAGAUAAAACACUAAUUUCCUUAAUCAAAAAAUUAGAUAAAAAUAAUAGAAUUCAAAAAUAAAAAACAUGAUCGAAGCCUGUAAAAAGAAGAUGGAAGAGGGCUGAAAAGAAAGUAUACCUCUGCCUCGAAUAAAAUAAUGGAUAACAAAAAUCAAAAUUUGACAUAAUUUGAGCAAAAAUUACUCCAAUAUGAGCUCCUCUAUGAUUUUUC
rnacentral:lncRNA from 1 species